GUAGGUGGCAAGCGUUGUCCCGGGAAUUAUUGGGCGUAAAGCGCGCGCAGGGCGGUCCUUUAAGUCUGAUGUGAAAGCCCACGGCUCAACCGUGGAGGGUCAUUGGAAACUGGGGGACUUGAGUACAGAAGAGGAAAGCGGAAUUCCAAGUGUAGCGGUGAAAUGCGUAGAGAUUUGGAGGAACACCAGUGGCGAAGGCGGCUUUCUGGUCUGUAACUGACGCUGGGGCGCGAAAGCGUGGGGAGCAAACAGGAUUAGAUACCCUGGUAGUCCACGCCGUAAACGAUGAGUGCUAAGUGUUAGGGGGUUUCCGCCCCUUAGUGCUGCAGCUAACGCAUUAAGCACUCCGCCUGGGGAGUACGGCCGCAAAGGCUG
rnacentral:rRNA from 1 species